UACCAGCACCCCGAGUGGUCGGGACGAUUAUUGGGCCUAAAGCAUCCGUAGCCGGUUUUACAAGUCCUCCGUUAAAUCCAGCUGCUUAACAGAUGGGCUGCGGAGGAUACUAUAAGACUAGAAGGCAGGAGAGGCAAGCGGUACUCAGUGGGUAGGGGUAAAAUCCGUUGAUCCAUUGAAGACCACCAGUGGCGAAGGCGGCUUGCCAGAAUGCGCUCGACGGUGAGGGAUGAAAGCUGGGGGAGCAAACCGG
rnacentral:rRNA from 1 species